UGUUGUUGCUGCUUGCUGCCGCUGGUGGAGGAGUGGUGGUCCUCCGUGGAUUAAUUUAAUUCUCUCCUUCAGGCUCCAUUUGUGAUGGCAACCUCUGAGCUAAAGAGAAUUCUAAAGGAAUUGAAGAACUUGUAGUACUUUUUGAAUGAGUUGUGCUACUUUAUUAUCAUUUUAUAGAUAUGUACUUUAAAUUUGUUUCUUAAGAUGAGUUGUAAUUGUAAGAAAUUAUUUGAACUAAGGAUUUUUUUUGUCAA